rfam:Candidatus Zambryskibacteria bacterium RIFCSPLOWO2_01_FTLL_45_43 rifcsplowo2_01_scaffold_4017, whole genome shotgun sequence.
GCGGCUAUAGUUUAGUGGUAAAACACUAGCUUGUGGAGCUAGAUUCGAGAGUUCAAUUCUCUCUAGCCGCC